rnacentral:rRNA from 1 species
UACAGAGGGGGCAAGCGUUGUUCGGAAUUACUGGGCGUAAAGAGCUCGUAGGCGGCCUGUUACGUCUGCUGUGAAAUCCCGGGGCUUAACCCCGGGCGUGCAGUGGAUACGGGCAGGCUGGAGGCAGGCAGGGGAGAACGGAAUUCCCGGUGUAGCGGUGAAAUGCGCAGAUAUCAGGAGGAACACCGGUGGCGAGGGCGGGUCUCUGGGCCGAAAUUGACGCUGAGGAGCGAAAGCGUGGGGAGCAAACAGG